GCAAUGCCGCCGUGGCCUUUUGUGUAUAACUAUUUUACGGUUUAUUGUUGUUGCUAUGUUAGAUUCUACUUUAGCAUCGUUAGAUCCAUAUCUUCACUUCAGCUCUUUAGCAGUACUGCUGUGUAACAUUAAUUGAGCUUUUAGCAAAAAUAAAAAAUAAAAAAUAAAAAAACAAUAAUUGAGCAGCAGAGACGCGUCAUCAAUAGCAGCAGACUAUGAACCAGAGCAUUAUGUAAGAUUAGGCAAGGCUCCACUUAAGCAUAACAGAUGUUGAAAUUGAUAGCAUAGCAGUUGUGGAGUGAAGUUAGUUAAGG
rnacentral:lncRNA from 1 species